UGCACUAUUGGUUAGUUGAUGCAGCUUUGGCUAAAAUAAACCAAUACAUAUAGUUCUGGCUAGUGGUAGCUAUAUGAAUAAAUGUAACUACCCAUGGCUGUGGUGCAGAAUCAAGCUACUAUAGAAGCAAAGCAUGCUUUUCAAUAGCCAUGCAUGACGAAAUAGUUAUAAAUGCAUGACUAUACGGUGUAGACAGGGGCUGAUGUAUCACUCAUUUGUACAUUUGUAAUUAAUUGUAAGAACAAGGUUGUUCUUUGCAUGUGUUCUUUCUUUGCUGCCAAGCAUGACAGAGAUAUAACAAUCUUAUAACUUAAGCUCAUAAUAAAAUAUUGUUGGUAACCUAGCAAAGAAAUUUCUUAAUUAAGUUUGCUAUACAAAAUCCCAUAAUGCUUUCUUAUAUGUAUGGGCGUUGUGUGUUUGUGUUUUUUGUUUUUUAUUUUUCCUUUUUUUCUGGAACUCCUAAAUGACUUUUACAUUUGAAUAUUAUCAGAAACAAAAUUUCUGAUGUUUAAGAAACAUUUCUGCAUAUUUUUUCCAUCUGGCUAUAAUAGAGCAUAAUUUAAGGCUAUGGGCAGAGGAGGGGGUAAAUGAUGCAUGUAAUGAUUGUUUUAACAUUUACAAGAAAAUAAUUUAUUUAAAUUGGAUUAAGCCUUAAUAUUAUCACACUUUUCUACCUGAUUUAACAUGGAGGGAGAGGGUGGAAGAAGGGGGAGAUGGUGAUUUCAUGGUAAAGUGUUUUAAGUAUUUACUAUUUUCUUUUCUUUUUGAUCUUCCAGGCAUUCUGCCCCACAGCCAUGUAAAUUUUCCUCCAUCUGAAUGUUCACUGCCGUCUUUUAGAUUCCUCUGCUGACAGUGAAGAGGUCACGCUAAAUCAAACUGACAGAGAAACUGGACAUCAACUUUACCCAGGAUGCCCAAAUUAAUUCUACCGAAACAAAAGGGUCAACCUCACUUUGGCUGGCUUGUCUUCUUGAUUUCUUCGUUGGUGGUGCUAAAGAGAGUUGACGAGAUGGGAAGAAAGUGGCAGGGAUUGCUGAGUCUGAACAUCACUUCUGCUAAGCUUGGAGCAGCACUGAAGCUAUUUUAAACAAGGUGAGGAAAUAUCAUGCCUUUUUUAUUAUUAUUUAUUUUUUAUGGUAAAAUAGCCUGUCUGAGGUAUUGAAGUGUGAAAUUCAGACCCC
rnacentral:lncRNA from 1 species